UUACGACCAUGCCGUGUUAAAACCCCAAUUCACAUCUGAUCACCGAAAUUAAGUAGCGUCAAGCAUGUUCAAUACUUAGAUGGAGGACCGCUUGGGAGCACCAUGUGCAGUAAG